UACGUAGGGCGCAAGUGUUGUCCGGAAUUAUUGGGCGUAAAGAGCUCGUAGGCGGUUUGUCGCGUCUGCUGUGAAAACCUAAGGCUCAACCUUGGGCUUGCAGUGGGUACGGGCAGACUAGAGUGCGGUAGGGGUGACUGGAAUUCCUGGUGUAGCGGUGGAAUGCGCAGAUAUCAGGAGGAACACCGAUGGCGAAGGCGGCAUCCUGGACCAUUACUGACGCUGAGGAGCGAAAGCCCAGGGGAGCAAACGGG
rnacentral:rRNA from 1 species